ensembl:lncRNA
GGGUUCAAUCCCUGGGUUGGAAAGAUUCCCCUGGAGGAGGAAAUGGCAACCCACUCCAAUAUUCUAGCCUGGAGAGUCCCCAUGGAAGAGCCUGUGCCCAGCCCAGAGCCUGUGGACCCUCUGCUGCUCUAAGGAAGCCCCUUUGGGUGCCUGAGGUGCUGGCUGCUGUCGAUGUGGAUGAGAGUGAAGGGCCCAUGUCCAUGGCAGAUGUCACAGCACUCGCGGGAGGAGGGCAAGGCUGGUUGUCUCAGCAGAGCUGGCUCUGUGACUCUGGAUUCUUUGCCUAAUUCUGGAUCUGCAGUGUACACAUAUCAUGCUGGAGCAGAAUUGGCCCUGGAAAAUGCUCAGGCAGAGCAGCAGCCAUGGAGCAGGCCCUGCUGUCCUGGACUUUCUCCCUUGUCUUUCCCUGGCUCUCACCCACCGCAUUUCAGGACUGGGAAAGGCAUCGUAAAGACUGCCCUGAUCGAUUCCUGGAUUUAAAAGGAUGGCCUGUGGAAGCUGUGAUAAUCACAAGAGGAGAGCGAGACCCUGCCCCAAGUAAACUCUUUCCUUUUUUGUUUUUCAUGUUUUGAUCUUAUGAGCCUUGACUAGGCUCCACUGAAAACAAUGGCAACUUCUUCAAAGAGGAGCAUCAAGCCCUCUGAAUGGGCUAAUUCUGCUGCAGGUUCCCGCUAUCCAUCCGCCCUUGACAAGCGCCAGUAGAAGUCAACAGGUACCACCCUGGAUCUUGCGCCAGAAUAUGGAGAAGUUGCCACAGGAACCGAGCAAAAGGCACUCAUAAACAUUGUGGGUGUAGAAAAAUUUUGUCUUUGUGAUGAGAUGGCAGGGAUUAGCACUUGAUAACCUUGAUAGUCAUGCACUUUUGAAGUAAAUAAACGUCUCCUAAUGAGCUUCUAAAUUAGAGAGGAGAGGAGGCCCAGCUAACCUCCAUAGGUUAUUGGCAUCAGAAACGUGGUAAAGCUAUAACGUAACUCUAAUCUUAACAGCUUAUAAAUGCCAGAAAAUGCUGUAAACUAAAGAAUAAAUCUAUUGGGCAAAUCUACAGUGGCUCAUCCACCAGCUAAUUAGUUCUGUGGGCUCU